rnacentral:lncRNA from 1 species
UGACCCGGAUCUUCUGGAGCAGUACGACAGCCGACCCGAUUUACACUCGACGGGGUCGAGUUUUUCUCACCCGGGAGGAGUUGAUGGGGACAUCAGCUAGGUCCCCAUUUUAUUUGCAUAUUUGCUUAUUGUUAUUUCUGGGUUUAUUUGUGUUUUAGGAUUUAUUUGGGGUUUAUUUUAUUCUGGGCUUAUUUGCAUUUUAGGGCUUAUUUGUGGAGAAUUAUUUUAUGUAAGGGGUUUAUUUUAAUUGUUCUUAUGGGGCCCUAUUUAAAAGGAACUUUAUGUUGAUUAGGGUUUUAAUGAAGAAUUAAAGAUUUCUUUCCCCACGUUUCCUCUUCUUCUCUUCUCCUCCCUUCUCCUUCUUCUCUUCUUCUUCCUCCUUCUCUUCCCCUCUUCUCCUUCUUCCAUUUACAACUUGGUCCGGCAUCACUUUGAGAGCUUUCCACAUCAUUUUUGAGAGGAACUCCUUGACAAUUAUUAGAUGGCUAUCUACCUCAUUGUUAGACUUGCUCAACGGGCAGGUUGAGCCAGGUUUGGACCAAGGUACCAUGUCAUUUAAUCAGGCCUAGGCCCAUCCUGAUCCGGCAUUUGGAUCUACUUUUCAGGCCUAAGCCUACUACUUAUCGAGCCUUGGGCUUCCAGGCUAGACCCUCGGGCUUCCUAGGUUUUGUUUUCCCAUCUCAUUGGCUUGGCUUCAAGCUCUUGGGAUGUCGUGAAAGCCAUGGGGCGACUUAGAGGAGACGACCCGGUGCUAGCCGUGAGUUCGGACUUGGAGACCCUUGACAUUAGCAUGGCAAUUAUCGACAGUGGUGUGGUGGCCGUCAAAGAGGUGGUAUAUGUAACUAAUCACAUUAGGAUCACAUUGUGGACUUAUGGGACAUACGUUUCCUCAUAAAUUUUGGAGAUUUUAUUCUCUAAUUUCUAUGAAUUUUUUU